rnacentral:rRNA from 1 species
GACGAACGCUGGCGGCGUGCUUAACACAUGCCAGUCGAACGGGCCCGCUCUCUUUUUUGGGGGUGGGUUGAGUGGCGAACGGGUGAGUAUCACGUGAGUAACCUGCCCCCUGCUCCUGGAUAACUGCUUGAAAGGGCGGCUAAUACGGGGUGUGCCGGCUGUUCCGCAUGGGCCUGGUCGGGAUAGUUUCAUCUUCGGGUGUUUCGGUGGGGGAUGGGCUCGCGGCCUAUCAGCUUGUUGGUGGGGUGAUGGCCCACCAAGGCGGUGACGGGUAGCCGGCCUGAGAGGGUGGGCGGCCACACUGGGACUGAGACACGGCCCAGACUCGUGCGGGAGGCAGCAGUGGGGGGUAUUGCACAAUGGGCGGAAGCCUGAUGCAGCGACGUCGCGUGAGGGAUGGAGGCCUUCGGGUUGUGAACCUCUUUCUCCGGUGGUGAAGGCCCUGUCCGUUGCGGCGGGGUUGACGGUAGCCGGGUAUGAAGCGCCGGCUAACUACGUG